rnacentral:rRNA from 1 species
AUGUCUUCUAUAGCCUUACAAGGAACUUUGGAGAAUAUGAUGAGUCAAAAGGAAGUGCGGAAGGAGAGGAGGAGAAAAGGGAAGGAGAAGCAAAUGAAGAUAUACCUAGAUCUUCAAACGAAGAAGCUUGACAUGGAGGAGGCGGUGAAGAGGAGGAAGCUUGACAUCGAGGAGGCCGCUCAACUGAAGAAGCUCGACAUCGUGUUCACCAAUGCCGAGACCAAAGCCAAAGAGGUUGCACUUGUGUUCAUGAGCGUUGACAAAAACAACAUGUCAACGGAGAGGAAGGCUUGGUUCGCGAACCAGCAACAGGAGAUGUUUGCUCGCGACGGCCAGGUGAGACCUCGACCACGAUGGCUGUCCAUUUUGAAGGUUGGCUGCUGUGCCGGCCGCUGGCUUUGUUGUUGGCGCCAAAAACUUGUCAUUUUGAAGGCUGACUUGUGUGUCGGCCCAAAAAACUUGUCCAUUUUGAAGGAUGGCUCGUGUGAAGAUUACUUGAGAUUUUAUAAAUCUGACUGUUGUUGGAGCAGUUGCUUUAAUUAG